UGAAGAAGAGGUGAUCCCGUGUUUCGUCUCUCAUCCGCACAAUACAAAGCCUGCUCUAUACCCCCAAGCUCUCAUCCUAUCUCCCGUUGACAAUCUAUUGCGAACAGCCAACCAUACAAUGAAUGAGAAUAUGGGGACUGGUUGCGCGAACCAGACACUCAUGCUCCAAAAGACCGUAGCCUUCCUAUCUCUGAUUUGCUCCCAACUUUUUGCUGAUGAAAAAAUGGCUUGUAAGUAUUGUCAGAAUGUUUCCAUAGCACC
rnacentral:lncRNA from 1 species